AGGAUGAACGCUGGCGGUCUGCUUAACACAUGCAAGUCGAACGGAGUACCUCGGUACUUAGUGGCGGACGGGUGAGUAACGCGUGAGAAUCUGCCCUUAGGUCGGGGACAACCAUUGGAAACGAUGGCUAAUACCGGAUAAGCCGAGAGGUAAAAGAUUAAUUGCCUAGGGAAGAGCUCGCGUCUGAUUAGCUAGUUGGUGAGGUAAAGGCUCACCAAGGCAUCGAUCAGUAGCUGGUCUGAGAGGAUGAUCAGCCACACUGGGACUGAGACACGGCCCAGACUCCUACGGGAGGCAGCAGUGGGGAAUUUUCCGCAAUGGGCGAAAGCCUGACGGAGCAAGACCGCGUGAGGGAUGAAGGCCUUUGGGUUGUAAACCUCUUUUAUCAAGGAGGAAGUUCUGACGUGUACUUGAUGAAUAAGCAUCGGCUAACUCCGUGCCAGCAGCCGC
rnacentral:rRNA from 1 species